rnacentral:rRNA from 1 species
UGCAAGUCGAACGAUGAUCCCAGCUUGCUGGGGGAUUAGUGGCGAACGGGUGAGUAACACGUGAGUAACCUGCCCUUGACUCUGGGAUAAGCCUGGGAAACUGGGUCUAAUACCGGAUACGACCAUCUGGCGCAUGUCAUGGUGGUGGAAAGCUUUUGUGGUUUUGGAUGGACUCGCGGCCUAUCAGCUUGUUGGUGGGGUAAUGGCCUACCAAGGCGACGACGGGUAGCCGGCCUGAGAGGGUGACCGGCCACACUGGGACUGAGACACGGCCCAGACUCCUACGGGAGGCAGCAGUGGGGAAUAUUGCACAAUGGGCGCAAGCCUGAUGCAGCGACGCCGCGUGAGGGAUGACGGCCUUCGGGUUGUAAACCUCUUUCAGUAGGGAAGAAGCGAAAGUGACGGUACCUGCAGAAGAAGCGCCGGCUAACUACGUGCCAGCAGCCGCGGUAAUACGUAGGGCGCAAGCGUUAUCCGGAAUUAUUGGGCGUAAAGAGCUCGUAGGCGGUUUGUCGCGUCUGCUGUGAAAGACCGGGGCUCAACUCCGGUUCUGCAGUGGGUACGGGCAGACUAGAGUGCAGUAGGGGAGACUGGAAUUCCUGGUGUAGCGGUGAAAUGCGCAGAUAUCAGGAGGAACACCGAUGGCGAAGGCAGGUCUCUGGGCUGUAACUGACGCUGAGGAGCGAAAGCAUGGGGAGCGAACAGGAUUAGAUACCCUGGUAGUCCAUGCCGUAAACGUUGGGCACUAGGUGUGGGGGACAUUCCACGUUUUCCGCGCCGUAGCUAACGCAUUAAGUGCCCCGCCUGGGGAGUACGGCCGCAAGGCUAAAACUCAAAGGAAUUGACGGG